GAUGAACGCUGGCGGCGUGCCUAAUACAUGCAAGUCGAGCGAACGGACGAGAAGCUUGCUUUUCUGAUGUUAGCGGCGGACGGGUGAGUAACACGUGGAUAACCUACCUAUAAGACUGGGAUAACUUCGGGAAACCGGAGCUAAUACCGGAUAAUAUUUUGAACCGCAUGGUUCAAAAGUGAAAGACGGUCUUGCUGUCACUUAUAGAUGGAUCCGCGCUGCAUUAGCUAGUUGGUAAGGUAACGGCUUACCAAGGGAACGAUGCAUAGCCGACCUGAGAGGGUGCUCGGCCACCCUGGAACUGAGCCACGGUCCAGACUCCUACGGGAGGCAGCAGUAGGGAAUCUUCCGCAAAGGGCGAAAACCUGACGGAGCAACGCCGCGUGAGUGAUGAAGGUCUUCGGAUCGUAAAACUCUGUUAUUAGGGAAGAACAUAUGUGUAAGUAACUGUGCACAUCUUGACGGUACCUAAUCAGAAAGCCACGGCUAACUACGUG
rnacentral:rRNA from 1 species